rnacentral:misc_RNA from 1 species
GAUGAAGAACGCAGUGAAAUGCGAUAAUUAAUGUGAAUUGCAGAAUUCAGUGAAUCAUCGAGUCUUUGAACGCACAUUGCGCCCCCUGGUAUUCCGGGGGGCAUGCCUGUCCGAGCGUCAUUGCUGCCCUCAAGCAUGGCUUGUGUGUUGGGCUUCCGUCCCUGGCAACGGGGACGGGCCCAAAAGGCAGUGGCGGCACCAUGUCUGGUCCUCGAGCGUAUGGGGCUUUGUCACCCGCUCCCGUAGGUCCAGCUGGCAGCUAGCCUCGCAACCAAUCUUUUUAACCAGGUUGACCUCGGAUCAGGUAGGGAUACCCGCUGAACUUAAGCAUAUCAAUAAGCGGAGGA